UUUAUACUCGGGUAAAAUAUUUGUUUUCUUAUUAGAAUUUAUAGUUAAAACAUAUAUUUUAUCAUUAUUUUAUUUUAUGGUUUAUUUUCAAGAGAAGGGAGAGACACCAACAAAAAGCUUUGAAGUUAAUGAUAGUGAAGACGAGGCAGAUAAUUAUAAAAACCUUUGCAGCUAAAGACAGUGAAGGUAUAUAAUAAUAAAUCACUUUUACAUUUUGUUAGCGUUACCUUUUUAUUGUAAUGUAUUGUUUUUUUAGAAGUGGCAGAUACAAAAAAUAGUUUUGUAGUAAAAGAUGAGAAGGCAGAGAAGCCAAUAAAAACCAUUGUAGUUGAAGAUAGUGAAGAGAUAGUAAAUACGAAAAAAAGCUACAUAGUUGACGAUACAGAAGAAAGAGCUUUAAACAAGAUAUGCUAAUAUGCUGUAUGGUGGAAAAAUUUCAUUGGACGCUUGCAAUAAUCAAACCAGGUAAUAAAACAAUUCACUCUAUGGACCCUAUGGGAGAACAGACAAAUUCCAUCAAUAAAGAAGAAGUGAAAUGGAAUUGUUACUUACAUCAAAGAUAUGGUGUUUCAGAAAAGUUUGAAAUAUUAACAUUACCACAUGCCAUACAAGCUGAAGUUUGCUGAAAGUUAUACAAAUGGAGAAGUAUUUGUGCGUUGUCUUUCCACAUGAAGAAGUUAAUGCAUACAGAAAGAGAGAUAAAGGAGGUUUGUGAGAUUCUUUAGAGAACUGAAAAUGUUUAUACUACUUCAAUGUUAAAUGAUAUCUAUAAAAAAGACAAAAAAAAAUGAUGAAAAAUUAAAUCAAUAGGUCAGAAGAGUUGGCAGAAUAGCUUGUGUCGCAUUUGUGGAAGUGAAAUUGGUCCAAAAACUAGAAAAAAUCAAAAAAAAAAUUAAAUGAAUCAAAUGUGAUAUAUGCAUUUAAAUCGAUGGUACUGUAUGAGAUGCAUUGUUUUUAGAAAUGAAACUUUAUUUUGUUGUGAACAUAUUUAUAUACAAAUGUAUUAAAUAUAUAUAUUAAAUAAUAAAUGAAACUUUGAAAUUGCAGUCAUUUCUUUU